rnacentral:rRNA from 1 species
UAGCAUAUCAAUAAGCGGAGGAAAAGAAACCAACAGGGAUUGCCUCAGUAACGGCGAGUGAAGCGGCAACAGCUCAAAUUUGAAAUCUGGCCCCCUCGGGGUCCGAGUUGUAAUUUGGAGAGGAUGCUUCGGGUGUGGCCCCGGUCUAAGUUCCUUGGAACAGGACGUCACAGAGGGUGAGAAUCCCGUACGUGCCCGGUGGCCGCCCCCGUGUGAAGCUCCUUCGACGAGUCGAGUUGUUUGGGAAUGCAGCUCAAAAUGGGUGGUAAAUUUCAUCUAAAGCUAAAUAUUGGCCAGAGACCGAUAGCGCACAAGUAGAGUGAUCGAAAGAUGAAAAGCACUUUGGAAAGAGAGUUAAACAGUACGUGAAAUUGUUGAAAGGGAAGCGCUGGCAACCAGACUUGCGCGGGGUCGAUCAUCCGGUGUUCGCACCGGUGCACUCGGCCCCGCGCAGGCCAGCAUCGGUCUGGGCGGCUGGAUAAAGGCCUUGGGAAUGUGGCUCUCUUCGGGGAGUGUUAUAGCCCAAGGUGCAAUGCAGCCCGCCUGGACCGAGGACCGCGCUCCGGCUAGGAUGCUGGCGUAAUGGUUGUCAGCGACCCGUCUUGAAACACGGACCAAGGAGUCUAACAUCUAUGCGAGUGUUUGGGUGUCAAACCCAUACGCGUAAUGAAAGUGAACGGAGGUGAGAACCCUUAAGGGUGCAUCAUCGACCGAUCCUGAUGUCUUCGGAUGGAUUUGAGUAAGAGCAUAGCUGUUGGGACCCGAAAGAUGGUGAACUAUGCCUGAAUAGGGUGAAGCCAGAGGAAACUCUGGUGGAGGCUCGCAGCGGUUCUGACGUGCAAAUCGAUCGUCAAAUUUGGGCAUAGGGGCGAAAGACUAAUCGAACCCAUCUAGUAGCUGAUCUGCGA